AUUGAACGCUGGCGGCAGGCCUAACACAUGCAAGUCGAGCGAGCGGCGGACGGGUGCGUAAUGCCUGGGAAUUGCCCAGUCGAGGGGGAUAACAGUUGGAAACGACUGCUAAUACCGCAUUCGAUUGGAAUGCCCAGGUGGGAUUAGCUAGUUGGUGAGGUAAUGGCUAAACAAGGCAACGAUCCCUAGCUGGUCUGAGAGGAGGAUCGGCCACCCUGACACGAAGCACCGGUCCAGACUCCUACGGGAGGCAGCCGGUGUGAAUAUUGCACAAUGGGGGAAACCCUGAUGUAGCCAUGCCGCGUGUGUGAAGAAGGCCUUCGGGUUGUAAAGCACUUUCAGCGAGGAGGCGUUACUCGCAGAAUAAGCACCGGCUAACGCCGUGCCAGCAGCCGCGGUAAUUC
rnacentral:rRNA from 1 species